GCUUGUCUCAAAGAUUAAGCCAUGCAUGUCUAAGUAUAAAUAGUAUACAGUGAAACUGCGAAUGGCUCAUUAAAACAGUUAUAGUUUAUUUGAUAAUUGAAAAUUACAUGGAUAACCGUGGUAAUUCUAGAGCUAAUACAUGCGAAAAAUCUCGACUCACGGAGAGAUGCUUUUAUUAGAUCAAAACCAAACGGCUUCGGCCGUCUCAUUGGUGACUCUGAAUAACUUUGGGCUGAUCGUAUGGCCUUGUGCCGACGACGUUUCCUUCGAAGGUGUGCCCUAUCAACUGUCGACUGUGAUAUAGACGCUCACAGUGGUUUUGACGGGUAACGGGGAAUCAGGGUUCGAUUCCGGAGAGGGAGCCUUAAAAACGGCUACCACAUCCAAGGAAGGCAGCAGG
rnacentral:rRNA from 1 species